AGGAUGUAACCAGGACGUCCACCAAUGUCUCCAGGAACUGGGAUAUACCGGCGCCUUCACCAUUUUCCAAGGAUGUAACCAGGACGACCAUCAGUGCCUCCAGGAGUUGGAAUAUAUAGGCGUCGUCCUUCAUUAUUCUCCAAGGAUGCAACCCAGACGACCAUCAG